AACGAACGCUGGCGGCAUGCCUAACACAUGCAAGUCGAACGAGAUCUUCGGGUCUAGUGGCGCACGGGUGCGUAACGCGUGGGAAUCUGGCCUUUGGGUCGGAAUAACAGAUGGAAACGACUGUUAAUACCGGAUGAUGACGAAAGUCCAAAGAUUUAUCGCCAGAGGAUGAGCCCGCGUAGGAUUAGUUAGUUGGUGUGGUAAAGGCGCACCAAGGGGACGAUCAUUAGCUGGUCUGAGAGGAUGAUCAGCCAUACUGGGAGUGAGACACGGCCUUGACUCCUAUAGGAGGCAGCAUUGGGAAAUAUUGGACAAUGGUCGAAAUCCUGGUCCAGCAAUGCCGUAUGUGUGAUGAAGGCCUUAGUGUUGUAAAUCUCUUUUACCCAGGAUGAUAAUGACAGUACCGGGAGAAUAAGCUCCGGCUAACUCCGUGCCAGCCGCCGCAGUAA
rnacentral:rRNA from 1 species